rnacentral:rRNA from 1 species
UACGUAGGUGGCGAGCGUUAUCCGGAUUUAUUGGGCGUAAAGCGUCCGCAGACGGCUUGUUAAGUAUAGAAUCAAAUCCCGAAGCUUAACUUCGGUUCGUUCUAUAAACUGGCUGGCUUGAGUAUGGUAGAGGCAAGUGGAACUUCCAGUGUAGCGGUAGAAUGCGUAGAUAUUGGAAAGAACACCAGUGGCGAAGGCGACUUGCUGGGCCAUUACUGACGUUCAUGGACGAAAGCGUGGGGAGCAAAUA